CAAAUUAAAACUUAAAUAAGUAUUAUUAUUUACAUUAAUAAGUUAGUUGUGUAAUUCAACUUAAUUUGA
rnacentral:tRNA from 1 species